CCGGUUACCAUUCUGUGGAGGAAAUUCAAUGACGCCCACUGGAGAGAGACCAUAGGCAAAGACGUACAUGCAGAACUGCAAAGACCCCAGCCCAAGGUCGGCAUCAACUGCCAGAGAGGUCCUGCUAAUGGAUAUGAAAUCGGGGUGGGAAAGGAGCUGAAGCAUUUUCCAGAAGCUGCCGCCUUCCUUCGAGGGAAACUUCUCUCUUCGUGGAGUUACUCAACCAUGGAUUGCUUCUGGACCACGCAGCCAGUAGCAGCACUGUAUUGACCUGCUAAAGACAAAAACCUUUCUGUUUCCCAACAAAAUCCCUUGUAUUUUGAGCUGAAGGCAAGAACUGCUCUACAGAGAUGCCAAGAGAAACAUACUUACAUUAUGAAGUGUUUCUAACAAAUGUUUGGGAGAUUUUAAAGGGGUAGCUUUCUAAAUAUCCUAGGAAUCUGCAAACAACUCAGACACCAGCCAGAUUUCUAGCCUAAGCAUUGUUUCUGACAAUACAACUUUCCAAGGAAGACAAUGAAAGUGGUCAGUCUAGUGAUGAGGUGAAGGGGGAAACAUGCUGUGAGAACACUCAGAUACAAAGACAAAGGCGUCCACCUAUUCUCUGGAA